AGUAUUGGACAAUAGGGGAAACCCCCAUCCAGCGCUACCGCGCGUAUGAGGAGAGCCUUCGGGUUGUAAAGUACUUUUGGCAGAGGAGAAAAGGUAGCUGCUAAUACGAGAUACUGCUGACGGUAUCUGCAGAAUAAGCACCGGCCACUGAGGUGCCAGCAGCCGCGGUAAUACGUAGGUGGCAAGCGUGAAUCGGAAUUAUUGGUCGUAAAGAGGGUGUAGGCGGUUCGGAAAGAAAGAUGUGAAAACCCAGGGCUCAACCUUGGAAACGCAUUUUUAACAGCCGUGCUAGAGUAUGUCGGAGGAGGGUAGAAUUCCACGUGUAGCAGUGAAAUGCGUAGAUAUGUGGAGGAAUACCGAUGGCGAAGGCAGCCCCCUGGGAUAAUACUGACGCUCAGACACGAAAGCGUGGGGGGCAACC
rnacentral:rRNA from 1 species